CAAUAAGCUUGCAUUUACUACAGCUGGGGAGCGCUCUCUUAUUUCUGCUGACUGUAGCCAUAAGCCCAGCCACGUCCUACCACAAGAUUUUGGCUCUGAGUCCAGUGAAGUAUUUCUAAGCAGGCUUAACUCCAGGCACAUGACUACUCCAGCAAAUAUUUGGAAGACUUUCUGCAGGCUUAAAGGAUUAGCGAGCCAUCUCUCCACACUGCCCAGCUCCCCCUCCGCCUCCACCAGCUCUCUCCAUGUGGCCAAAGAGAUGGUUAUUCAACCCUUGAAGUAUGGGAUGAUCCAUAUUUACAUUAUCCCAAGGGAAGCUCUUUGAAAGAACUGUGACCUCUUUGCACUUGAAGAGCAAUUUCCCCUGUCCUCUUCCGCCUCUUUCAUGUUAUUUAUUUUCUAGUAACACCGACCUUCUGCACUGAAGGACUCUCCUACAUGAAAGGAUUUUUCUUCAGCUCACAUUUUGCA